GAUGAACGCUGGCGGCGUGCCUAAUACAUGCAAGUCGAGCGAACAGACGAGGAGCUUGCUCCUCUGACGUUAGCGGCGGACGGGUGAGUAACACGUGGAUAACCUACCUAUAAGACUGGGAUAACUUCGGGAAACCGGAGCUAAUACCGUAUAAUAUAUUGAACCGCAUGGUUCAAUAGUGAAAGACGGUUUUGCUGUUACUUAUAGAUGGAUCCUCGCCGCAUUAGCUAGUUGGUAAGGUAACGGCUUACCAAGGCAACGAUUCGUAGCCGACCUGAGAGGGGGAUCGGCCACACUGGAACGGAGAAACGGUCCAGACUCCUACGGGAGGCAGAAGUAGGGAAUCUUCCGCAAGGGGCGAAAGCCUGACGGAGCAACGCCGCGGGAGGGAGGAAGGUCUUCGGAUCGUAAAACUCUGUUAUUAGGGAAGAACAGAUGGGGAAGUAACUAUGCACGUCUUGACGGUACCUAAUCAGAAAGCCACGGCUAACUACGUG
rnacentral:rRNA from 1 species